CCCAGAGCUCUGGCUUCCCCG
rnacentral:misc_RNA from 1 species